rnacentral:rRNA from 1 species
GACGAGCGCUGGCGGCGUGCCUAAUACAUGCAAGUAGAAUGCUGAAGAGAGGAGCUUGCUCUUCUUGGAUGAGUUGCGAACGGGUGAGUAACGCGUAGGUAGCCUGCCUUGUAGCGGGGGAUAACUAUUGGAAACGAUAGCUAAUACCGCAUAACAAUGGAUGACUCAUGUCAUUUAUUUGAAAGGGGCAAAUGCUCCACUACAAGAUGGACCUGCGUUGUAUUAGCUAGUAGGUGAGGUAACGGCUCACCUAGGCGACGAUACAUAGCCGACCUGAGAGGGUGAUCGGCCACACUGGUACUGAGACACGGCCCAGACUCCUACGGGAGGCAGCAGUAGGGAAUCUUCGGCAAUGGGGGCAACCCUGACCGAGCAACGCCGCGUGAGUGAAGAAGGUUUUCGGAUCGUAAAGCUCUGUUGUAAGUCAAGAACGAGUGUGAGAGUGGAAAGUUCACACUGUGACGGUAGCUUACCAGAAAGGGACGGCUAACUACGUGCCAGCAGCCGCGGUAAUACGUAGGUCCCGAGCGUUGUCCGGAUUUAUUGGGCGUAAAGCGAGCGCAGGCGGUUUGAUAAGUCUGAAGUUAAAGGCUGUGGCUCAACCAUAGUUCGCUUUGGAAACUGUCAAACUUGAGUGCAGAAGGGGAGAGUGGAAUUCCAUGUGUAGCGGUGAAAUGCGUAGAUAUAUGGAGGAACACCGGUGGCGAAAGCGGCUCUCUGGUCUGUAACUGACGCUGAGGCUCGAAAGCGUGGGGAGCGAACAGG